CAUAAUGAUUUGUCGUUUGUUUGUUUGUUUGUUUGCGUGCGUGCACGUUGAUUUUCUUCUCGCGUCUUCCUCAGGUCGAACCGUGGACGUGAGCCGGCCGUCGGUGCUGGACGACUUCAACGCGCUGGUGAGGCAACAUGGAAUGGGUGACGACGCCGUUGUCGUGAAUCACAUAAAAGGUGAAUGUCCUCCUGCUUCCACUUCUCAGUCUCAGGUGCCUGAAAGCAAAAUGGCGUCAUGAUUCCACGCACCUGUGUCUGCAAUAAAAACGAAUAGUCACCA